GGCGAAGUGGCGGAGUGGUUAACGCGGUUGACUCGAAUUAAUCCUCGAUCAACUUCCUUCGGGAGCGCAUGUUCGAAUCAUGUCUUCGUCG
rfam:Trichosporon oleaginosus strain IBC0246 unplaced genomic scaffold CC85scaffold_130, whole genome shotgun sequence.